rnacentral:rRNA from 1 species
AGAAGUGGUUAGCCUAACGCAAGAGGGCGAUCACCACGGUGUGGUUCAUGACUGGGGUGAAGUCGUAACAAGGUAGCCGUAGGGGAACCUGCGGCUGGAUCACCUCCUUAAACGA